AACGAACGCUGGCGGCGUGCCUAAGACAUGCAAGUCGUGCGGAAAGGCUCCUUUCGGGAGUACUCGAGCGGCGCACGGGUGAGUAACACGUGGGUAAUCUGCCUGCGGGUCUGGGAUAACCCCGGGAAACUGGGGCUAAUACCGGAUGAGACCACGGAGCCCUGGGGCUCUGCGGCCAAAGAUGGCCUCUCCUUGGAAGCUAUCGCCCCACAGAUGAGCCCCGCGUCCCAUUAGCUAGUUGGCGGGGUAACGGCCCACCAAGGCGACGAUGGGUAGCUGGUCUGAGAGGAUGAUCAGCCACACUGGAACUGAGACACGGUCCAGACUCCUACGGGAGCAGCAGUCGGGAAUUUUGGGCAAUGGGCGAAAGCCUGACCCAGCAACGCCGCGUGAGGGAUGAAGGCCUUCGGGUCGUAAACCUCUGUCGGGAGGGGCGAAAGGUCGACGAGCGAAUAGGUCGGCGGCUUGACGGUACCUCCAAAGGAAGCGCCGGCUAACUCCGUGCCAGCAGCCGCGGUAA
rnacentral:rRNA from 1 species